rnacentral:rRNA from 1 species
GUGUCAGCAGCCGCGGUAAGACGAACCACCCAAACGUUAUUCGGAAUUACUGGGCUUAAAGGGUGCGUAGGCUGUGCGGAAAGUUGGGUGUGAAAUACCUCAGCUUAACUGAGGAACUGCGCUCAAAACUACCGUGCUGGAGGGAGACAGAGGUAAGCGGAACUUAGGGUGGAGCGGUGAAAUGCGUUGAUAUCCUAAGGAACACCGGUGGCGAAAGCGGCUUACUGGGUCUUUUCUGACGCUGAGGCACGAAAGCUAGGGUAGCGAACGGGAUUAGAAACCCCGGUAGUCC